rnacentral:rRNA from 1 species
UCCGUAGGGUGCGAGCGUUAAUCGGAAUUACUGGGCGUAAAGCGUGCGCAGGCGGUUUUGUAAGACAGGCGUGAAAUCCCCGAGCUUAACUUGGGAAUGGCGCUUGUGACUGCAAGGCUAGAGUAUGUCAGAGGGGGGUAGAAUUCCACGUGUAGCAGUGAAAUGCGUAGAGAUGUGGAGGAAUACCGAUGGCGAAGGCAGCCCCCUGGGACGUCACUGACGCUCAUGCACGAAAGCGUGGGGAGCAAACAGG